GCAGAAAGUAUUUAAUUUUUUUUUAUUUCCAUAGGUUAUUGGGGAACAGGUGGUGUUUGGUUACAUGAGUAAGUUCUUUAGUGGUGAUUUGAGAGUUUGGUGCACCCAACACCCAGAAAAUAUUUAGUACAGGAAUUUGGGUGCUUAUAUAACUGUGGAAAGGGUUGGAGGAGCAGAAGUUGGGGCAGGCUGCUGCACUUAACUGCCACCACAUCUGCCACUAUCAAGGAUGCCAGCACUCAGGAAGCUGGUGACUAGAGGCUGAUGACUUACACUGGGACUUGCUCCCCAACCAUAACACCUCCUAGAAAAUGGCCUCCACCUUCUUACCCAACUGAUCCUACUGGCAGAACCUAAGCUGCAUCCAAAACCCAACUGUGAGGGGCUGAGAAAUCUAGCCCCAACGAUACAGUAGGAAAUUCAGAAGUCAAACAGGGUGCUGAGUGCCCAAAGGCAAGAUUCAUGAAGCAAAAAUCCCACAAAUCCACAUAGGACUGUUUAUUAUGACUUGGCAAUGUUUCCUAAACAUAAUAUGCACAUGCAAAACUGGAUGCCUUUUGUCAAACAUUGCCUCUGUCAGAUACAUUGUAUCAGGCAACUAUGGUUUUCCUGCAAGUCUUUAAAAAAUGCGACCUAAGUUUGGCAGAAAACGAUUUCCUCUUGACAUCUAUCAGCAAAUACACUGAAGAAAGCAGACUUUGUUUGCUACACAGUAUUUCCCCCACCCCUCAUCUUUAUUAAGGUGUAAGUGACAAAUAAAAAACAUAUAUAUUCAAGAUGUAUAAUGUGAUGUUUUCAUAUAUGUAUAUACUGUGAAAUGACAACCACAAUCAAGCUAAUUAACAUAUCUAUUUCCUUAGCUUUUUUUGGAGAGAUUAUUUAAGAUCUACUUUCUUAGAGAAUUUCGAGUAUACAAUACAGCAUUAACUAGUUACCCUGCUGUACAUUAGGUCUCCAGACCGUAUUCACCUUAAAACUGCCAAGUUUGUUGGCCAACAUUUCCCCAUUUCCUUACCCCUGGCCCGCAAUAACCAUUCUUACAGUGAUUCUAUGACUUUUCUUUCUUUUUUUUUUUUUGAGACAGGGUCUUGUUUUUUUUUUUUCCUUACAGGUAUGGUUCCCAAGGGAAAUUUGGCACCAUUAGGUCAGUUCUGUUCCU
rnacentral:lncRNA from 10 species